UGCAUGAUGAGCAUUUUUGGGCACCAUUCUGAUUUAUUUUGAUGUGCUUGCACUCUGAAC
rnacentral:snoRNA from 1 species